GCCCAAUCCCAGGCAGGCCAGCAAACCACAGCAAAGUCGAUGUGUAAACUCUGCUGUCCAGGGCUUCCUAGAUAAUGUGGCAAUGGGCCAGUCCAUCAUAACCUCUCUUUUAAGUACUUUGAACUUGAGCUAUGGAGAAUGAGAAGUCAGUAGAAGGAGGUGGAGUGAGACAAAGAGCCACAUCAGAAGACUAUAGGCAGGAGGAAAAUGGACACACGGAAGGUCCAUCUUAUCCUUCUCUGGGACUCCUAUUGCCAAAGGACUUAGAGCCAAAGACUUAAAGCCAAUUUAAACAUUCCAGGCCAGACAGGAAUGGAGGUGAGCACUGAUCCUGAUUUUCUGUGCUUGUCUUUGUUCAGUCCUCCCCACUCUCACUAUGCCAUUCGCUGGAUUUGGUGGUCUCCUCCAAAUUCCUCCUGAGGCUUUAAGCCUCAGGCUUCCAUUAUUAAUUAAUUAAUUCAUUCAUUCAUUCAUUUGCUCAUGCAAUGAGAAUGCAUUGAGCACCUACCAGGCAUCACGAACAGGGUAAGACCUCAGGCUUGGUGCCUCCUUUGACCUUAGUAUCCUUCAUUGCCCACUGUGGUCCCUGGCUUGGUGAGACCUCCCUGCCUUACCUUGUCUCUUCCCAUCUCUCUGGGGUCCCAGCCUGGCCAUUUCUAGGCUCAUAUUAUGCGGGAAGGGUGAGGAAGGAUUUGGAAAUAUGUGCCUCAUUUCAGUAAAGGCUCUGUGGUCAACUUCAGCUUUAGCACCUGGGAGUGAGUCCAUGUGUGUCCCUCAGAUGGGAUGGAUCAGUUUGGGUGAGGGGAUGGGAGAGAAAAGAUCUGCUAUCUUGGGUGCUGAUUAAGGCAGCUCAGUUUGGGGUGGCAGUGAAGGUGGUCCCAGGCACCUAAGUGGAGGUGAGGAGCAUGCAGGUAUAAGUGAAGCAUGGCCUGGUGCCAGUGGCUCAGGCCUGUGAUUCCAACACUUUUGGAGGCUGAGGCAGGAGGAUUGCUUGAAGCCAGGAGCUUGAGACUAGCUUAGGCAACAUAGGGAGAACUUGUCUCUACAAAA
rnacentral:lncRNA from 1 species